UUAUCUUCCAAAGCUUUAUUUAAUAAAAAAUAAUUACCGAGGCCAACACAGAAGGGUAAAUCAAGUCUCCAUAAAACCCGGAGAGGAGCGUGCUUGGCUCCCCCUUUGGAUCCUGUCUGGAGGCACAGCA
rnacentral:snoRNA from 1 species